UACGGGGGGGGUAAGCGUUGUUCGGAAUUACUGGGCGUAAAGGGCUCGUAGGCGGCCAACUAAGUCAGACGUGAAAUCCCUCAGCUUAACUGGGGAACUGCGUCUGAUACUGGAUGGCUUGAGGUUGGGAGAGGGAUGCGGAAUUCCAGGUGUAGCGGUGAAAUGCGUAGAUAUCUGGAGGAACACCGGUGGCGAAGGCGGCAUCCUGGACCAAUUCUGACACUGAGGAGCGAAAGCCAGGGGAGCAAACGGG
rnacentral:rRNA from 1 species